GACGAACGCUGGCGGUGUGCUUAACACAUGCAAGUCGAACGGAAAGGCCCUGCUUUUGUGGGGUGCUCGAGUGGCGAACGGGUGAGUAACACGUGAGUAACCUGCCCUUGACUUUGGGAUAACUUCAGGAAACUGGGGCUAAUACCGGAUAGGAGCUCCUGCUGCAUGGUGGGGGUUGGAAAGUUUCGGCGGUUGGGGAUGGACUCGCGGCUUAUCAGCUUGUUGGUGGGGUAGUGGCUUACCAAGGCUUUGACGGGUAGCCGGCCUGAGAGGUUGACCGGCGACAUUGGGACUGAGAUACGGCCCAGACUCCUACGGGAGGCAGCAGUGGGGAAUAUUGCACAAUGGGCGGAAGCGUGAUGCAGCAACGCCGCGUGCGGGAUGACGGCCUUCGGGUUGUAAACCGCUUUCGCCUGUGACGAAGCGUGAGUGACGGUAAUGGGUAAAGAAGCACCGGCUAACUACGUG
rnacentral:rRNA from 1 species